rnacentral:rRNA from 1 species
AAUGCGACCUCAGCUCAGGCGGGGCUACCCGCUGAGUUUAAGCAUAUCAAUAAGCGAGAAA